GGCCUACGGGGGGCAGCAGUGGGGAAUAUUGCACAAUGGGGGAAACCCUGAUGCAGCGACGCCGCGUGAAGGAAGAAGUAUUUCGGUAUGUAAAGCUCUAUCAGCAGGGAAGAGAAUGACGGUACCUGACUAAGAAGCCCCGGCUAACUACGUGCCAGCAGCCGCGGUAAUACGUAGGGGGCAAGCGUUAUCCGGAUUUACUGGGUGUAAAGGGAGCGUAGACGGCUGUACAAGUCUGAAGUGAAAACCCGUGGCUCAACCGCGGAACUGCUUUGGAAACUGUAAAGCUGGAGUACUGGAGAGGG
rnacentral:rRNA from 1 species